rnacentral:rRNA from 1 species
UACGGAGGGUGCGAGCGUUGUCCGGAAUCAUUGGGCGUAAAGGGCGCGUAGGUGGCCCGGUCAGUUCGUGGUGAAAGCGCGGGGCUCAACCCUGCGUCGGCCAUGAAUACUGCCGCGGCUGGAGCACUGUAGAGGCAGGCGGAAUUCCGGGGUGUAGCGGUGGAAAUGCGUAGAGAUCCGGAAGAACACCGGUGGCGAAGGCGGCCUGCUGGGCAGUUUAGCUGACACUGAGGCGCGACAGCGUGGGGAGCAACAGG